rnacentral:lncRNA from 1 species
AGGUUCUGAAUGAGAAGAAACUUCAAGAGGUUGAUAGUUUGUGGAAAGAAUUUGAAACUCCAGAGAAAGCAAAUAAAAUAGUAAAGCUAAAACAUUUUGAGAAAUUUCAGGAUACAGCAGAAGCAUUAGCAGGUAAAUAAGAAUUUACAGUAAGAGAAGUUUUUUUUAUUUAAAAAUUUAGCAUUUUGUUUUUCUUAUUAAAAAGUUGUCUUCAGUUGCCUGAGUUAAUCUUCCUCAAUGUUGUCAAUGAUGCAUCUUACUGGAACUGAGUUUCAGUGAUCUAACCCAUUCGUCACUACCACUGAGACAACAUUGAGUUAGCUUUUUUCACCAUAGGGU